GUGGGGAAUAUUGGACAAUGGGCGCAAGCCUGAUCCAGCCAUGCCGCGUGGGUGAUGAAGGCCCUAGGGUUGUAAAGCCCUUUCGGCGGGGAAGAUAAUGACGGUACCCGCAGAAGAAGCCCCGGCUAACUUCGUGCCAGCAGCCGCGGUAAUACGAAGGGGGCUAGCGUUGCUCGGAAUCACUGGGCGUAAAGCGCACGUAGGCGGAUCAUUAAGUCGGGGGUGAAAUCCUGGAGCUCAACUCCAGAACUGCCUUCGAUACUGAAGAUCUCGAGUCCGGGAGAGGUGAGUGGAACUCCGAGUGUAGAGGUGAAAUUCGUAGAUAUUCGGAAGAACACCAGUGGCGAAGGCGGCUCACUGGCCCGGUACUAACGCUGAGGUGCGAAAGCGUGGGGAGCAAACAGGAUUAGAAACCCUGGUAGUCC
rnacentral:rRNA from 1 species